CUCCUCACAAACCUGUAAUCUUAUCUACUAAAAUUUAUAACAUCAGCGUCACGAUAAUUUCGGAGAACUCCCAAAAUAAGGGAAAAGGAGAGGUUAGGUAAAAGCUGAGGAACUUAUAAUAAUUAGCUAUUUUCAUGGUUUUACACGAAACAGAAGAGUUCAGGUAAGAACCUAAGACCUUAAGCCAACACCUUAACAUAAAGUAAACCUUCAACUGGCCUUCAGACUGCACUCUUCUACAAAACUCUGUGGGUGCUAAUCUUACUAUAUACAUUGAAAUUUGUAACAUCAGCAUCUGGGAAACUUUUUAAACUUCUAAAAUAAAGGUAGUACUUCAUAAACAGUGCUUACAGUUCACGUUAUAGAGCAAAGGAAACUUACUUGAUUACAAACCAAGAGCAGCAUGUACUUCAAGUUACUAGAGGUGGGAUGUCGACAACAGGGAUACAAGAAGAAACAGGCAACGUUAGGUGUUUCUAAAGGAGAGAGAAGUUUAAAAGGAGCACCAUUGAACACUUGAGAGAGAAACAGAACACUAAGCAAGGAAAAUAAGCUGUUUUUGAAAGUGAGAGAACUAUAUGAACACAAGCUAUAUCUGACUGGGAGAGAAGUCUACAGGGGAUGUUACGGAAGAAAGAGAAUAGGUGAAGAAACACUAGUCUACAGGGGAUGUUACGGAAGAAAGAGAAUAGGUGAA